rnacentral:rRNA from 1 species
CAGCCGCCGCGGGAAUACGAAGGGUGCAAGCGUUAAUCGGAAUUACUGGGCGUAAAGCGCGCGUAGGUGGUUUGUUAAGUUGGAUGUGAAAUCCCCGGGCUCAACCUGGGAACUGCAUCCAAAACUGGCAGGCUAGAGUAGGGCAGAGGGUGGUGGAAUUUCCUGUGUAGCGGUGAAAUGCGUAGAUAUAGGAAGGAACACCAGUGGCGAAGGCGACCACCUGGGCUCAUACUGACACUGAGGUGCGAAAGCGUGGGGAGCAAACAGGAUUAGAUACCCCAGUAGUCCCUGUCUCUUAUAC